rnacentral:ncRNA from 1 species
GGUCAAGUAAAUAAGGGCUUAAGGUGGAUGCCUAGGCACUGGAAGGCGAUGAAGGUCGUGACAAGCUGCGAUAAGCUACGGGGAGAAGCAAAUAUUCUAUAAUCCGUAGAUAACCGAAUGGGAAAACCCGUAAAAGCAAUCCUUUUACAUCAUGCAUUGAAUACAUAGAUGUAUGAAGCGACACCCAGGGAACUGAAACAUCUAAGUACCUGGAGGAAAAGUAAUCAAAAUUGAGAUUCCCUCAGUAGUGGCGAGCGAAAGGGGAAGAGUCUAAACCGUUAUAAUGCCAAGUUGCAAGAUUUUGUUAUAGCGGUGUUGUAGGGCGAUAUGUGAAAUACUUGCAUAUUUCGACUUUAAUCUAUAUGAUAGUAGAACUGUUUUGGAAAAGCAGACCAUAGUGGGUGAUAGUCUCGUAUAUGAAAUCAUAUAGUUAAGGUUAUGUCGUUCCUGAGUAGGGCGGGGCACGAGAAACCCUGUUUGAAUCUGGGUAGACCACUAUCCAAGACAAAAUACUAGCCAGUGACCGAUAGUGUAGAGUACCGUGAGGGAAAGGUGAAAAGUCUCCCGUUGAGGGCUAUUAAAUAGAACCUGAAACCUUAAGCUUACAAGUAGUCAGAGGGUAUCCUAUUAGCAAUAAUAGCGACCUAAUGGCGUGCCUUUUGUAGAAUGAGCCUGCGACUUAUAGUAUGUAGCAAGAUUAAGAGGUAAUAGCCUUGUAGUCGUAGUGAAAGCGAGCCUUAAUAGGGCGAAAUUAGUUGCAUGCUAUACGACCCGAAGCCAAGUGAUCUACCUAUGAGCAGCGCGAAACUCGAGUAACAUCGAGCGGAGGUGCGAACCAGUGGUCGUGAAAAGACUUUGGAUGACUUGUGGGUAGGAGUGAAAGGCUAAUCAAACUUGGAGAUAGCUGGUUCUCUCCGAAAUGUCUUUAGGGGCAGCGUUAUGCGUUUACUUGCGGGGGUAGAGCACUAAAUGGACUAGGGCUCCUAACCGAGUACCAAACCCAACUAAACUCCGAAUACCGUAAGUUAAGAGCAUGGCAGUUAGACAGCGGCGGAUAAGCGUCAUUGUCAAAAGGGAAACAGCCCAGAUCCUCAGCUAAGGUCCCAAAAUCUAUGUUAAGUGGGAAAGGAUGUGAGAAUACUUAAACAGCCAGGAGGUUGGCUUAGAAGCAGCCAUUCCUUUAAAGAGUGCGUAACAGCUCACUGGUCGAGUGUUUUUGCGCCGAAAAUGUAACGGGGCUCAAACAUAGUACCGAAGCUAGGGAAUUAUAGAGUUGAUCUAUAAUUGGUAGGAGAGCGUUCUUUAAGCCGUUGAAGGUAUGUCGUAAGAUAUACUGGAGGUAUAAGAAGCGAGGAUGCAGGCAUAAGUAACGAGAAAACGGGUGAAAAACCCGUUCGCCGCAAACCCAAGGUUUCCUAGGUAAAGCUAAUCUGCCUAGGGUUAGUCGACCCCUAAGAUAAGGCUGAAAAGCGUAGUCGAUGGGAAACAGGUAAAUAUUCCUGUACUAUAGUAUGUUUCGAUGGAAUGACACAGAUUGUUUGCGUGCGCGAGGUUUUGGUUGUCCUCGUCGAACCGUUUAGACUUGUGGCGAGUCAAAUGCUUGUCGCUUUAAGGUUGAGACGGGAUAGUGACUGGGCUUUCGGGUUCAGGAAGUUGCGUGAACUAGGCUGUCGAGAAAUAAUUUCUAAGGUUAGGCAUAUUAUAAUCGUACCGUAAACCGACACAGGUGGGUGAGAUGAAUAUUCUAAGGCGCUCGAGAUAAUCUUCCCUAAGGAACUCUGCAAAUUAGUCUUGUAACUUCGGAAAAAGAGACGCCUGAAUCUCGAUAGCAAUAUUGGGAGGAGGGUCGCAGUGAAAAGGCCUGGCCGACUGUUUAACAAAAACACAGAUCUCUGCAAACAUGCAAAUGGAUGUAUAGGGAUUGACACCUGCCCAGUGCUGGAAGGUUAAAAGGAGAGGUUAGCGCAAGCGAAGCUU